rnacentral:lncRNA from 1 species
CUGUCCCAUGGCCGGUUUUCAGUCCGGGUGGCCGGGUCGUCCAGGCACUGUGUUCUACGAGGAGCCCGUUUCCAUCCCGGGUUACAUUUUGGAUGUGGCGGGCCCACCACCACGCCUUUAUUACGUUGAGAGGCGCCGGGCGAUGGAGCCAAGGAAGUUCCUUCUUCAAAAGUCUUUGUUUGAGUUGGUGGUUAGUCGCCACGUUGUGCGGUUAACGGACCCAGAUUUGCUACAGUGGUAUUUCAGUUUGUCCCUGGAAGACAAGAAGAUCAUACAGGAUGAAGGAGGUUUUCCUCAGUUCCUGCAGGGACAUCCAGCCUUGGACCUCUAUCAAGAUCAUGCUUCUGUGAAAGAGCCGAGGACAAAUCUGGGACAUGUGGCUAAACGUGUCUCAGCGUUGUCCUCUUCUCAGGAGGAGCAGGAACCUGUAAGCAGAAGGUAAACAACGGCUUUGCUACUCUGUGUUGAAACUUGAUAUAGAAUCAGGUGCAUCUGAGCAGGGACAUGUAGAAAACAUGUGACCUUCAAGGACCAGGUUUGCUCCACCCUAUCAUACAGAAUAGAGGUUGGUCUUAUUUCAUUUUCUUGACCUGUUUUCAUGUCUGCCUGGAGCUGUGCUGAUGGACCUCACAGCCGUCUUCCAGUUCUUUAAUGAAGCAAAGAUCGUGUUGGAAAGUAGAAGCAAUGUUCAGAUGUUUCCUCUGAAGAAGUCCCAGAGAAACGAUGGCUUGGUCCUCUCAGCUGUAGUGUCUCCAUACACUUUCAGAGCUUUG